GAUGAACGCUGGCGGCGUGCCUAAUACAUGCAAGUCGAGCGAACAGAUGAGGAGCUUGCUCCUUUGACGUUAGCGGCGGACGGGUGAGUAACACGUGGGUAACCUACCUAUAAGACUGGGAUAACUUCGGGAAACCGAAGCUAAUACCGGAUAAUAUUUCAAACCGCAUGGUUCGAUAGUGCAAGAUGGCUUUGCUAUCACUUAUAGAUGGACCUGCGCCGUAUUAGCUAGUUGGUAAGGUAACGGCUUACCAAGGCAACGAUACGUAGCCGACCUGAGAGGGUGAUCGGCCACACUGGAACUGAGACACGGUCCAGACUCCUACGGGAGGCAGCAGUAGGGAAUCUUCCGCAAUGGGCGAAAGCCUGACGGAGCAACGCCGCGUGAGUGAUGAAGGUCUUCGGAUCGUAAAACUCUGUUAUUAGGGAAGAACAAACGUGUAAGUAACUGUGCACGUCUUGACGGUACCUAAUCAGAAAGCCACGGCUAACUACGUGCCAGCAGCCGCGGUAAUACGUAGGUGGCAAGCGUUAUCCGAAAUUAUUGGGCGUAAAGCGCGCGUAGGCGGUUUUUUAAGUCUGAUGUGAAAGCCCGCGGCUCAACCGUGGAGGGUCAUUGGAAACUGGAAAACUUGAGUGCAGAAGAGGAAAGUGGAAUUCCAUGUGUAGCGGUGAAAUGCGCAGAGAUAUGGAGGAACACCAGUGGCGAAGGCGACUUUCUGGUCUGUAACUGACGCUGAUGUGCGAAAGCGUGGGGAUCAAACAGGAUUAGAUACCCUGGUAGUCCACGCCGUAAACGAUGAGUGCUAAGUGUUAGGGGGUUUCCGCCCCUUAGUGCUGCAGCUAACGCAUUAAGCACUCCGCCUGGGGAGUACGACCGCAAGGUUGAAACUCAAAGGAAUUGACGGGGACCCGCACAAGCGGUGGAGCAUGUGGUUUAAUUCGAAGCAACGCGAAGAACCUUACCAAAUCUUGACAUCCUUUGACCCUUCUAGAGAUAGAAGUUUCCCCUUCGGGGGACAAAGUGACAGGUGGUGCAUGGUUGUCGUCAGCUCGUGUCGUGAGAUGUUGGGUUAAGUCCCGCAACGAGCGCAACCCUUAAGCUUAGUUGCCAUCAUUAAGUUGGGCACUCUAAGUUGACUGCCGGUGACAAACCGGAGGAAGGUGGGGAUGACGUCAAAUCAUCAUGCCCCUUAUGAUUUGGGCUACACACGUGCUACAAUGGACAAUACAAAGGGUAGCGAAACCGCGAGGUCAAGCAAAUCCCAUAAAGUUGUUCUCAGUUCGGAUUGUAGUCUGCAACUCGACUACAUGAAGCUGGAAUCGCUAGUAAUCGUAGAUCAGCAUGCUACGGUGAAUACGUUCCCGGGUCU
rnacentral:rRNA from 1 species